rnacentral:rRNA from 1 species
UACGAAGGGGGGCUAGCGUUGUUCGGAUUUACUGGGCGUAAAGCGCACGUAGGCGGACUAUUAAGUCAGGGGUGAAAUCCCGGGGCUCAACCCCGGAACUGCCUUUGAUACUGGUAGUCUUGAGUUCGAGAGAGGUGAGUGGAAUUCCGAGUGUAGAGGUGAAAUUCGUAGAUAUUCGGAGGAACACCGAGUGGCGAAGGCGGCUCACUGGCUCGAUACUGACGCUGAGGUGCGAAAGCGUGGGGAGCAAACAGG